ACCCAGUGGGAGACGUGGUGGCCUAAUGGUUAGCGCGCUGGACUCUGGACCGAGUGGUCCGGGUUUCGAGCCCUGACCUGGGUG
rnacentral:tRNA from 1 species